AUACAAAAAAAUGUCCCCUUAUAUUAAUAAAGUGUUUAAGAUCACACAAGUAAACAAGAGCCUAUAGGAUGAGUUGUGAUGUCCCAUUUUCCUAGUGGUAGUGGAAUCUUUCUGAUCUGUUGUCCAGUGUUUUGUCAAAUAUCAGAUGGAGGUAGAAUAUAUGUAAAGGAGGAAUCAAAUUUGGGGUCAGUAGUGGGAGGGGAUGGGGUGCUGAAGUUGUAAUUUUCUUGCAUUGGUCCUCUCCCUUUACUCUUCCCUUUUCACACACACACACACACACACUCUUCCAGUCUUGUCUUAGAGCAUGGACGUGCAGUAAUAUGCUGAUCCCAGCGAAGGGUGGGGGGGAAGCUCAUACCCAGAGUUCAGGAGAGCCACCUCGCACUCCAUGUCAACCCCCUUCACCCACCCACCGUCUUCGCCAACAGGCUUUCUCACCAGCUCCUGAGGCACUGAUGGCUGCCGCUGCUCUCCUAUGCAUUUGCAUGCAUCUGGUGUGGAGUCCUGGCUGCCCCCAGCCCACCUAACCCUAACCCCCAGCCCACCUGGCCUCCUCCAACCCCCACGUUCACAUGUUUGUUCCCAGAGGGUGGAGUGGCCCAUGGCCAUCCUCACCCCCCACCCCCCCACCACGCGCCUCUCUCUCUCGAUCUCUCUCUCUACCUCUACCUCUCUCUCCUUCUCUCUCUACCACUCUACCCCUCUCUCUCUCUCCUUCUCUCUCUACCACUCUACCCCUCUCUCUCUCUCUCUCUCUCUCUAUCUAUCUAUCUAUCUAUCUAUCUAUCUAUCUAUCUCUCUCUCGAUCUCUCUCGAUCUCUCUCUCUCUCUCUCUCUCUCUCUCUCUCUCUCUCUCUCUGGGGCUGGUGGGUGAUCAGCAUGGAAUAAAAAAAAGAAUUUGGCUGUUUUUAUUUGUACUGUUUUAUAGGAUUUAUCUCUAUAUUUGGAACCUAGUGUGUGAUACUUGAAAAAAAAAAAAAUUCGGUUUCAUUAUUAUUCCCACCCUCCCCAGGUAUCCUCGUUUUAAUCACUCUACCUUCCACUUCUCCUCACUCUCCCCUUCCUUCGAUUUUUAUUUUAUGCUUUUAGGUCUCAUCCCCGGUUCCUUUAACUGCAUUGUAAAGUGGGCAUGCUUGUCACAGAGGACAAAUGCUCUCUAUCUAUAGGAUUAUAACCUCUC
ensembl:lncRNA